rnacentral:tRNA from 1 species
GCAGGGGUGGCGGAGCCUGGUUAACGCGCCAGACUCAAGAUCCCGCGAAAGCGGUUAAGUAAUCUGGUGACUUAGGUCAUCGAGAGUUCAAAUCUCUCCCCCUGCA